UACGUAGGGUCCGAGCGUUGUCCGGAAUUAUUGGGCGUAAAGGGCUCGUAGGCGGUUUGUCGCGUCGGGAGUGAAAACUCAGGGCUCAACCCUGAGCGUGCUUCCGAUACGGGCAGGACUAGAGGUAUGCAGGGGGAGAACGGAAUUCCUGGUGUAGCGGUGGAAUGCGCAGAUAUCAGGAGGAACACCGGUGGCGAAGGCGGUUCUCUGGGCAUUACCUGACGCUGGAGGAGCGAAAGCAUGGGAGCGAACAGG
rnacentral:rRNA from 1 species